GCCCUACAUGGUGUGACGGUGACGGAUGACAAGAUUAAGGAUGUUGUUGCGCCGUCGGUGAAGGUGCUCAAGGAGGGUUCGACUGCUGCGUGGGAUG
rnacentral:tRNA from 1 species